UCUAUCGCUCAGAAUGUACGCGGCGAAAGUACUCAUCUUCGUAGUCGUCCUCUUGCUAAAUCAACUGUUGUCCAAUGGCCAGAACUGGCAUGACCAUCCAUGGGAAGAAAAGUACGGCAUAUAAGGAAAACUAAAGCAACGAUUGGAACCCAGCGAAAUGUUCUAUUAAACACGAGGUUCAAAAAAACUCGAUGAAUGUCAGCAAUAAAGCAAUAAUCAUACCAUCUGUA